GAAUGAACGCUGGCGGCGCGCCUAAUACAUGCAAGUCGAGCGAGAAGACGUAGCAAUACGUUUGUAAAGCGGCGAACGGGUGAGGAAUACAUGGGUAACCUACCCUCGAGUGGGGAAUAACUAGCCGAAAGGUUAGCUAAUACCGCGUACGCUCCUUGGACUUCGGUUCAGGGAGGAAAGCGAUACCGUGGGUAUCGCGCUCUUGGUUGGGCUCAUGUCCUAUCAGCUUGUUGGUGAGGUAACGGCUCACCAAGGCUUCGACGGGUAGCUGGUCUGAGAGGACGAUCAGCCACACUGGCACUGCGACACGGGCCAGACUCC
rnacentral:rRNA from 1 species